rnacentral:rRNA from 1 species
UACGUAGGGUGCGACCGGUAAUCGGAAUUACUGGGCGUAAAGCGUGCGCAGGUGGUUCGCUAAGACAGAUGUGAAAGCCCCGGGCUCAACCUGGGAACUGCGUUUGUGACUGGCGGGCUAGAGUGCGGAAGAGGGAGGUGGAAUUCCACGUGUAGCAGUGAAAUGCGUAGAGAUGUGGAGGAACACCGAUGGCGAAGGCAGCCUCCUGGUCUAGCACUGACGCUCAUGCACGAAAGCGUGGGGAGCAAACCGG